AGGGAUCAUUACUGAGUGAGGGCCCUUCGGGCUCGACUCUCCCAACCCUUUGUGAACACAACUUGUUGCUUCGGGGGCGACCCCUGCCGUUUCGACGGCGAGCGCCCCCCGAAGGCCUUCAAACACUGCAUCUUUGCGUCGGAGUUUAAGUAAAUUAAACAAAACUUUCAACAACGGAUCUCUUGGUUCUGGCAUCGAUGAAGAACGCAGCGAAAUGCGAUAAGUAAUGUGAAUUGCAGAAUUCAGUGAAUCAUCGAAUCUUUGAACGCACAUUGCGCCCCUUGGUAUUCCGAGGGGCAUGCCUGUUCGAGCGUCAUUUCACCACUCAAGCCUGGCUUGGUAUUGGGCGCCGCGGUCAAUCCGCGCGCCUCAAAGUCUCCGGCUGAGCUGUCCGUCUCUAAGCGUUGUGAUUUCAUUAAUCGCUUCGGAGUGCGGGCGGCCGCGGCCGUUAAAUCUUUCAAAGGUUGACCUCGGAUCAGAGUAGGGAUACCCGCUGAACUUAA
rnacentral:rRNA from 1 species